rnacentral:rRNA from 1 species
GUGAGGAAUUUUCCGCAAUGUGCGAAAGCCUGACGGAGCAAUGCCGCGUGAAGGAUGAAGGCCUAUGGGUUGUAAACUUCUUUUCUCAGAAAAGAAUUAUGACGGUAUCUGAGGAAUAAGCAUCGGCUAACUCUGUGCCAGCAGCCGCGGUAAGACAGAGGAUGCAAGCGUUAUCCGGAAUGAUUGGGCGUAAAGCGUCUGUAGGUUGUUUAAAAAGUAUUCUGUCAAAGAUUAGGGCUUAACCCUAGAUAGGCAGAAUAAACUUUUAAGCUAGAGUUUGGUAGAGGCAGAGGGAAUUCCCGGUGGAGCGGUGAAAUGCGUAGAUAUCGGGAGGAACACCAAAGGCGAAGGCACUCUGCUGGGCCAAUACUAACACUGAGAGACGAAAGCGAGGGGAGCAAAUGGGAUUAGAAACCCCUGUAGUCC